GACGAACGCUGGCGGCGUGCUUAACACAUGCAAGUCGUACGGUAAGGCCCUUUCGGGGGUACACGAGUGGCGAACGGGUGAGUAACACGUGAGUAACCUGCCCACAACUUUGGGAUAACGCUAGGAAACUAGUGCUAAUACUGGAUAUGUGCUCCUGCUGCAUGGUGGGGGUUGGAAAGCUCCGGCGGUUGUGGAUGGACUCGCGGCCUAUCAGCUUGUUGGUGGGGUAGUGGCCUACCAAGGCGGCGACGGGUAGCCGGCCUGAGAGGGUGACCGGCCACAUUGGGACUGAGAUACGGCCCAGACUCCUACGGGAGGCAGCAGUGGGGAAUAUUGCACAAUGGGCGCAAGCCUGAUGCAGCAACGCCGCGUGCGGGAUGACGGCCUUCGGGUUGUAAACCGCUUUCAGCAGGGACGAAGCUUUUUGUGACGGUACCUGCAGAAGAAGCACCGGCUAACUACGUG
rnacentral:rRNA from 1 species